CAAAGUGUAGCUUAACAUAAAGCACCUGGCCUACGCCCAGAAGAUUUCAACCCCAUUGACCACUUUGA
rnacentral:tRNA from 2 species